GACGAACGCUGGCGGCGUGCUUAACACAUGCAAGUCGAACGGAAAGGCCCUGCUUUUGUGGGGUGCUCGAGUGGCGAACGAGUGAGUAACACGUGAGUAACCUGCCCUUGACUUUGGGAUAACUUCAGGAAACUGGGGCUAAUACCGGAUAGGAGCUCCUGCUGCAUGGUGGGGGUUGGAAAGUUUCGGCGGUUGGGGAUGGACUCGCGGCUUAUCAGCUUGUUGGUGGGGUAGUGGCUUACCAAGGCUUUGACGGGUAGCCGGCCUGAGAGGGUGACCGGCCACAUUGGGACUGAGAUACGGCCCAGACUCCUACGGGAGGCAGCAGUGGGGAAUAUUGCACAAUGGGCGGAAGCCUGAUGCAGCAACGCCGCGUGCGGGAUGACGGCCUUCGGGUUGUAAACCGCUUUCGCCUGUGACGAAGCGUGAGUGACAGUAAUGGGUAAAGAAGCACCGGCUAACUACGUG
rnacentral:rRNA from 1 species